rnacentral:rRNA from 1 species
CCUACGGGUGGCAGCAGUGAGGAAUAUUGGUCAAUGGCCGGAAGACUGAACCAGCCAAGCCGCGUGAAGGACGAAGGUACCAAGCAUCUUAAACUUCUUUUGUCAGGGAACAAAAUCAGGCUCGAGAGCCUGACCGAGUGUACUUGAAGAAAAAGCAUCGGCUAACUCCGUGCCAGCAGCCGCGGUAAUACGGAGGAUGCGAGCGUUAUCCGGAUUUAUUGGGUUUAAAGGGUGCGCAGGCGGACUGUUAAGUCAGCGGUAAAAGCCCGGGGCUCAACCCCGGCGCGCCGUUGAAACUGGCUGUCUGGAGUUGGAGAGAGGUAUGCGGAAGGCGCGGUGUAGCGGUGAAAUGCAUAGAUAUUGCGCAGAACUCCGAUUGCGAAGGCAGCAUGCCGGCGGCAAUCUGACGCUGAGGCACGAAAGCGUGGGUAUCGAACAGGAUUAGAUACCCGAGUAGUC